rnacentral:misc_RNA from 1 species
UUACCAAGCCCUCAUUGAUCCAUUCCAAUUGCUCCAUACUCGGCCCUGAAAUUCCACUUUCAGAAUCCGAAACCACAGAAUCCUGAUCAGGACCAGUCGAAUCACCGGCGUCGGAGAAUCGGUCGGAGAAAUCAUGAUUCCCUGAAGUCUUGGAAGAAGCCACAAAAGCCUCAACUCCAUUUCCAAAUUGCUGAAACUGUAACCGAUAUUGAUCCUGAUUGUUGUUCUCCAUCGAUUGAAGACACAACUAACAACCAAAACAGAGUACCAAAACAAAGAAGAAAAAAGCCCAGAUAUCUAAAACAGAGACAUCCCAAUCGAGGCUAUAUAGAAACCGAAAUCAAUCAUAAACCAAAG